GCUCAUAUGGCCUGAGGAGCUGAAGCCC
rnacentral:piRNA from 1 species